GAGAUGUGGGUAGUCCGCACGAGCGCACCUCACUUUUAGUUGCCAUCAUUAAGUUGGGCACUCUGAAAGAACUGCCAGUGAUAAGCUGGAGGAAGGUGGGGAUGACGUCAAGUCCUCAUGGCCCUUACGUGUUGGGCUACACACGUGCUACAAUGGCAUCUACAACAGGAAGCAAAACGGCAACGUUAAGCAAAUCCCGAAAAGAUGCCUCAGUUCGGAUUGCACUCUGCAACUCGAGUGCAUGAAGCUGGAAUUACUAGUAAUCGUGGAUCAGCGUGCCACGGUGAAUGCGUUCCCGGGUCUUGUACACACCGCCCGUCACACCAUGGGAGUUGGUUCUACCUUAAGGCAAGGUUUUAAACCCUUGACCACGGUAUAGUCAGCGACUGGGGUGAAGUCGUAACAAGGUAGCCGUAGGGGAACCCGCGGCUGGAUUACCUCCUUUCU
rnacentral:rRNA from 1 species